rnacentral:rRNA from 1 species
UACGUAGGGGGCAAGCGUUAUCCGGAUUUACUGGGUGUAAAGGGAGCGUAGACGGCGCGGCAAGUCUGAAGUGAAAGGCAGGGGCUUAACCCCUGAACUGCUUUGGAAACUGCCAUGCUAGAGUGCUGGAGAGGUAAGUGGAAUUCCUAGUGUUGCGGUGAAAUGCGUAGAUAUUAGGAGGAACACCAGUGGCGAAGGCGGCUUACUGGACAGUAACUGACGUUGAGGCUCGAAAGUGUGGGGAGCAAACAGG